GGGAUUGGUGUUGGGGUUAGUGUUAGGACUUAGGGUUGGAAAAAGAUAGGGUUAGGGUUGAAAAAAGAUAGGGUUGGAAAGAUUGAGGGCUGCUGUGAUUUCUCGGGGUUGUGGCCGUACAGGGUUAUAGGGAUGGGCGAAGAUUUUGGUACUUUGGUACCAAAGGUGGGGGCGAGUGUGAGGAGGGAUUGGUGUUGGGGUUAGUGUUAGGACUUAGGGUUGGAAAAAGAUAGGGUUAGGGUUGAAUAAAAGAUAGGGUUGGAAAGAUUGAGGGCUGCUGUGA